CCUACGGGAGGCUGCAGUGAGGAAUAUUGGUCAAUGGACGAGAGUCUGAACCAGCCAAGUAGCGUGAAGGAUGACUGCCCUAUGGGUUGUAAACUUCUUUUAUAAAGGAAUAAAACGAGGCACGUGUGCCUUUUUGCAUGUACUUUAUGAAUAAGGAUCGGCUAACUCCGUGCCAGCAGCCGCGGUAAUACGGAGGAUCCGAGCGUUAUCCGGAUUUAUUGGGUUUAAAGGGAGCGUAGAUGGGUUGUUAAGUCAGUUGUGAAAGUUUGCGGCUCAACCGUAAAAUUGCAAUUGAUACUGGCAGUCUUGAGUACAGUUGAGGUAGGCGGAAUUCGUGGUGUAGCGGUGAAAUGCUUAGAUAUCACGAAGAACCCCGAUUGCGAAGGCAGCUUACUAAACUGUGACUGACAUUGAUGCUCGAAAGCGCGGGUAUCGAACAGGAUUAGAUACCCGAGUAGUC
rnacentral:rRNA from 1 species